rnacentral:rRNA from 1 species
GACGAACCGAGCGAACGUUGUUCGGAAUCACUGGGCUUAAAGGGCGCGUAGGCGGGCUGUCAAGUCUGGGGUGAAAUCCCACGGCUCAACCGUGGAACUGCCUUAGAUACUGACGGCCUCGAGGGAGAUAGGGGCGAGCGGAACUGUGAGUGGAGCGGUGAAAUGCGUUGAUAUUCACAGGAACUCCGGUGGCGAAGGCGGCUCGCUGGAUCUUUCUGACGCUGAGGCGCGAAAGCUAGGGAGCAAACGGG